AUUAAAAUCGCCUUUUUUGCCAACAUGGCGUCAAGAACUGAAUUGAGUUUUAAAAAAAUGUUAAGUAGGUGUGAAACCAUGGCCAAAGACAGGAAUUCUGGAGAAUGGAGGUUUGAAAAGUAUGUUGACACACUGCAAGAAUUACUCAGUGAAAUGAGGAGGUCUCGAGUCAGCCGCCCUCCUCAGGAAAGUUUGGAUGAGUACAGUGAAAAAGUCCAAUACCUGAAGGAGUUAGUGGAUUCUGAGAGAGAGGUAAGACUUACAAAUCACUAUAGAAACAUGUACCCAGUAAGAUGAAUAAGAGUACCUACUGUACAAUGAUAAUUUUCUGUCAGCCGAAACUUAAUUCUGAAUUUUAUAGGUAAACUUUUAAAUUAAGCAAGCAAUUUUAACUACAUAUACCAAUGCUCUUUCAAAUGUCUAAACCCUAAGUUUGUAAGUCUAUACCAGAUAAUUCCUUCAUUCCCGUUAGAUAAGGAGAUCUUUGAUUGAUUCAAUGAUUUACAAGUAAUAUUGGAUUGACUUUAAUUUCAUACAUGUACACCAUUAACAAUUACAUUAACCCUGAACAAACUUUUUUCUCUAUAGAACUUAUUUUGGUUACAAAAAGACAGCCAAAGUUGGGUCAUAUUAGUCCAUGAGGAUAUAAAAUCUCAUAAGUACAUAACAAUUUUUUUUAAGUUUAUAAAUAAACAGGGCCCGCUCUGCAACGCCCUAUAGUACCCGUAAUCAGUCUGUCAUUCCAUCUGUCCAUUCUUCUGUCCUUCUGUUCAUCCGGAGUAUAUCUUCUCUCCCCUUGCCCCUUGGCCAAUUGAGAUCAUACUUCACCAACGAAGUGCCUCUGGGUAAAGGGUAUGCAGUGACCUUGAACCAUGUUGCUAGGUUUAAGGUUAAGGUCAUAGCAGCAUUAUAUAUAAAAUCCUUGUCCAGGGCAUAUCUUCUCUCCCCUUGGUCGAAUCUGGCUCAUACUUUACUCACAGAGUGUUUAUGAUUAAAGAAUACGCAGUGACCGUGAAUGAAGUUUGUAGGUCAAGGAUCAAGGUCAUAUUUGACCAUGCAAAAAUCAAUUUUUCUUAGCAUAUUUUUUUUACUGAGCCCUAUUUGGCUCAUACUUUACAUAAACAGAGCUUUUGAGUAAAUGGUGUGUUGUGACCUUAAACCAAUUUUCAAGGUCAAAUGUGAAGGUCAUAGCAGUUAUAUGAAAAAUCCCUUGUAUGAGCAUAUCUUCUCUCUCUUUGCUCUAUUCUGUCUCAUACUUUCACCCACAUGGUGCAUUCAAUCAAAGCUGUGCAGUAACCUUGAAUGAUGUUUGUAGGUCAAGUGUCAUAUUGGAACACACAAAAAUUGUUGGUUUUUUAGAGCAUAUAUAUACUUUUCAAUUAGCCCUGUUUUGCUAAUACUUUAAUUAAACAGAGCUUUCUGGUUAUUGGCGAUGCAGUGACCUUGAACCAGGUUCUAUGUGAAGGUCAUAGCGGAUAUCUUAAUUAUAAUCAGUUUAAGACCAUAAAUCAUUUCCCAUUUGCUUAAUCUUGCUUGGAUUAAAAAAAGAUGCCUGUACGUAAGGGUAAGAGAUUGAAUUAGAAGUUCAAUGCCAGCUGAAAAUUUUUGGAGUUAAAGGUCAAGGUCAAAGUAAAAUUUUCUGAAAUUCUUUUCAUCCUAUUGUCCAUUAUUUAAGCAGGGGCCCUUUGAGAUGGUCACCAUCUCAAUGUUGUCUAGUUUACAAUCAUUGUGGGUAUUCUUCAUUUUGGAUUAUGUUUUUAUACCUUGUGUGCAUGUGCACAUAUCAUCUUAAAAUUGAGUGCAAUAUCUAAUUAUGUUACACAAAUACAGUAGCAACUUAAAUUAUUAUUUAUUUUUUUUACAAGUCUUCAUCCUUGAACCGAAAACCAUUAGAAGACAGAUUGAGUAACUCCAAAUUUUCCCAAGUGCAAGAGCAGGCUCGCAGUUAUCAAAAUGAACGCUAUGAACUCUUAGGACCAAAAAAUUCAGAUUCUGAGUUAAGACACCGAAAACAAGCAGAUGGUGAAGAUGCAGAGACAAUCAUAAAACAUCAAAGGGGGAUGCAUGAAAAACUGACAGAGGAAAUGUUGAAUUUGACUCGUAGUCUUAAACAGAGUGUGAGGGAUUCUGGGAGAAUAGUUCAGGAAGACAAUAAGACUUUAGAAACAAGCAUGAAAUUGGCAGAUUCAAACACAAAGAAACUCAAAGUGGAAAGCGAUCGCCUUGAGCAACAUACCAAGACUUGCUCAUGGUGGAUCUGGAUCAUGCUGGUGCUCGUCACUCUCACAUUCCUCUUCAUGAUUGUAUUCAUGCGCUUAUUUGGCAAGAAAGCAUCUUGAUGAUCCCGACCUUUAAUUGUGGACUAUGUGCAAUUGUGAUACAUUUUAUGUUUGAGCUGGUGCUUGAUGGUAGUUUUUAAACAUUACAUUGAAUUAACUGUCAUGAUUUUUGUUCAGUUGACAUCUGUGAUAAACCUGUGAACAUUCUGUGAAAAGAUGUUACAUUUUAUUUAGGGAAAUUGUUUGUAUUUAUUGACCAAGCUUAAAGCUUUGCAUGUACCAAUAACCCAUCUGAGUUUUAUGUUAUUUUUAAAUCAUAAAUCAUGCGCAGAAUUUAAAAUGAUAAAUAUGCCAGACCUGUACUUAGUACGAUAAUUGUUAUUGGUUAUUUCUAUUUUCCAACCCAAUAUUUAUCUGAUGAAUGUCAGUGUUUUUUUACUGGUGUGUUAAUUUUAGGCUGAGAUAAUUACAAUUAUUGUACAUGACCUUUGUGUUAAACAUAAUACAAUACUAAUAUG
rnacentral:misc_RNA from 1 species